AGCUCCACCGGAUCCACCCCCCGGGUCACGACGAGGUAGUCGCGCAUCACCACCGAGUGCCGCAUCUC
rnacentral:sRNA from 1 species